rnacentral:rRNA from 1 species
UACGUAGGGACCGAGCGUUGUCCGGAAUCAUUGGGCGUAAAGAGCGUGUAGGCGGCCUGCUAAGUCCUGCGUGAAAUCUCGGGGCUCAACCCCGAGCGGUCGUGGGAAACUGGCAGGCUAGAGUGCGGGAGAGGAGAGUGGAAUUCCUGGUGUAGCGGUGAAAUGCGCAGAUAUCAGGAAGAACACCCGUGGCGAAGGCGGCUCUCUGGAAACG